rnacentral:rRNA from 1 species
UUCGCCCUUUUCCGGUUGAUCCUGCCGGACCUGACUGCUAUCGGAUUGGUACUAAGCCAUGUGAGUCAUUGUAGCAAUACAAGGCAGACGGCUCAGUAACACGUAGUCAAUCUACCCUAUGGACGGGGGUAACCUCGGGAAACUGAGGAUAAAACCCGAUAGAUCAUAGUGCCUGGAACGGCUUAUGGUCCAAAUGAUUCGUCGCCGUAGGAUGGGACUGCGGCCUAUCAGCUUGUUGGUGAGGUAAUGGCCCACCAAGGCUAUUACAGGUACGGGCUCUGAGAGGAGAAGCCCGGAGAUGGGUACUGAGACACGGACCCAGGCCCUAUGGGGCGCAGCAGGCGAGAAACCUUUGCAAUGUGCGCAAGCACGACAAGGUUAAUCCGAGUGUUUCCUGCUAAAGGAAUCUUUUGUUAGUUUUAAAAUCACUAUUGAAUAAGGGGUGGGCAAGUUCUGGUGUCAGCCGCCGCGGUAAAACCAGCACCUCAAGUGGUCAGGAUGAUUAUUGGGCCUAAAGCAUCCGUAGCCUGUUCUGUAAGUUUCCGGUUAAAUCCAUUAGCUCAACUAAUGGGCCGCCGAAAAUACUGCAGAACUAGGGAGUGGGAGAGGUAGACGGUACUCGGUAGGAAGGGGUAAAAUCCUUUGAUCUAUUGAUGACCACCUGUGGCGAAGGCGGUCUACCAGAACACGUUCGACGGUGAGGGAUGAAAGCUGGGGGAGCAAACCGGAUUAGAUACC